UCUCCAUACUGUUUUCCAUAGUGGCUGCACCAGUUUGCAUUCCCACCAACAGUGCAUGAGGGUUCCUUUUUCUCCACAACCUCUCCAACAUUUGUCACUCUUGGUUUUGGAUAUUUUUGCCAUUCUAACAGGUGUAAGGUGAUAUCUUAGUGUAGUUUUGAUUUGCAUUUCCCUGAUAAUUAGUGAUGAUGAGCAUCUUUUCAUGUGUCUAUUGGCCAUCCUUAUAUCUUCUUUGGAGAAAUGUCUGUUCAUGUCCCCUGCCCAUUUUUUGAUUGGGUUGUUUGAUUUUUUUUGUUGUUGAGCUGUGUGAGUUCUUUAUAUAUUAUGGAGAUUAACCCUUUGUUGGAUAAAUAACUUGUAAAUAUUUUUUCCCAAUCAGUGGGCUGUUUUUUUUGUUUCAAUCCUGUUUUCCUUUGCCCAAGUAUCCCUUUUAUUAUGAGGUACACUUUCCUGUGAGGUUGGAGCCACCUUUAUCCGAGAGUGAUGUACCCACGGUUUUAUUCUGGCGACCUAACAGAGGAGUGCAUGGUCAGCAGUAUGUCAAAAGGGCCCGUCCAUCUGGCAGCUAGCUGGUUUUCAGGUCCUUGUUCCCUCCAGGUCUUCAGCAGUACUUGGCCACCAGGAUGGAAAGGAUGGAGGGGCACAUCAGAUGGGUAAGCUGCCCUGUUAGAGGCAAACUCAUGAAUAGAAGUCAGUACAGCACUUAAGGAUUUGACAGAAGCUGUGAGUGCAACAUCUGUUAGAGCUUCAGGUGAUUCACCUGAAAAAGAAAAUCCUGAGAGUGUAUAAAAUUUCAAAAGAACUCAAUUUAAGCCCGCUUCAGGGAGCCACCCUAAUCUGCAGCAGGGCAACAGCCAUGCUCUGUCCCAGAACCUGGACGACUUCAGCAGCCUUCUCCGACCAGGUGGGGAAAGCCUCCACCCACCCAGAAAACGUAUCCACCAGUACCAGGAAGUAUCGGUAAUCUCCAGCAGCGCGGGGCAUUCGGGUGAAGCCCGUCUGCCAGUCUUCCGUCGGCCAUUCCCCUGUGUGUCAGACUCCUCAUUGUGGAGGCCCUGGAGCAGUUUUGGGGUAAUCUUUUGCACAAAUCAUGC
rnacentral:lncRNA from 1 species